ensembl:processed_transcript
AAAUAUGGUACUGAUCCAUCUCCAGCGACGUUGACAGAGACGAAGACUUUACAGGAUCCUGUUCCAUCAUCUUUAGCCCAGGAUGUAGUGUCACUGAGAGACACCACUCCACCACUGGCCUCCUCUGAAGUGACGGCUGUCAUCUUCACCACAGCCAGAUCUCCAGGAGUCGACAUGUACGGUGGGCAGGAGUAGCUGGAGGCAGAGGUGUAAGAUGGUGCUGUGUAUGGGACGUCCUCCAGAGGCUGUAGAGUAUAUGGCUGAGAGCUGGAUGGGAUGGAGCUCCCACUCCGACCAGAGGUCAGACGGUACGGAGAGGAACUGCCUGAGUCAGGCCCAGCUAGGGAUGGUGAGUCUGCCACGGGGGCUGCAGCCUCAGGACAUAAGACUUCUGUCUGAUUGACCGAGUCCUCUGAUGGCUGAUCCCAUGGGUCUCUCUGUAGCAUAGAGAAACAUCAUUGCUUAGUAAUAUUUUCACUUAAAUGGGUUUUGCUCCAUCUAUUAAUUUAUUUAAAAAUAUGUUUCUGCAUUUAAAUAAAAUGUCAUAAAUA